rnacentral:rRNA from 1 species
GACGAACGCUGGCGGCGUGCUUAACACAUGCAAGUCGAACGGAAAGGCCCUGCUUUUGUGGGGUGCUCGAGUGGCGAACGGGUGAGUAACACGUGAGUAACCUGCCCUUGACUUUGGGAUAACUUCAGGAAACUGGGGCUAAUACCGGAUAGGAGCUCUUGCUGCAUGUUGGGGGUUGGAAAGUUUCGGCGGUUGGGGAUGGACUCGCGGCUUAUCAGCUUGUUGGCGGGGUAGUGGCUUACCAAGGCUUUGACGGGUAGCCGGCCUGAGAGGGGGACCGGCCACAUUGGGACUGAGAGACGCGCCAGACUCCUACGGGAGGCAGCAGUGGGGAAUAUUGCACAAUAGGCGGAAGCCUGAUGCAGAAACGCAGCGUGCGGGAUAACGGGCUUCGGGUUGUAAACCGCUUUCGCCUGUGACGAGGAGUGAGUGACGGUAAUGGGUAAAGAAGCACCGGCUAACUACGUG